UACGUAGGUGGCGAGCGUUGUCCGGAUUUACUGGGCGUAAAGGGCGUGCAGGCGGUUUGUUAAGUGCAGGGUGAAAGCUCCCGGCUCAACUGGGAGAGGUCCUUGCAUACUGGCGAACUCGAGGGAGGCAGAGGAAAGUGGAAUUCCCGGUGUAGUGGUGAAAUGCAUUGAGAUCGGAAAGAACACCAACGGCGAAAGCACUCUGCUGGGCCGACACUGACACUGAGAGACGAAAGCUAGGGGAGCAAAUGGG
rnacentral:rRNA from 1 species